AGCCACGCGCUGGGAGCCGAGUCUGCGAACUAGGCCUGGCGCGCUCCUGGAUCCCCUUGGGCUUUGCCUGCUGCCUCCAGCGGAGACUGGAGAAUGUGUGUAAAAUACAACGUGGAAGAGAGAUGAAGAAAAGGCAUUCUGGUGCAGCGAGCAGUCACCUUGAUGGUGGCUCCCUGGACCCUGCAGACUCUGACAUAGCAUCCAUGAUGCUGGUACCUGGCAAGAGACAGCAUCAUCCCACAGAGAGAUGAAUGUGGUCAGCUCCAAAUAUUACAAGACAGCAACUGGCCAGACUCGGUAGAAUACAAUGGAGCAUAGAGAAAUAAUCCUGCCUGGUGUUUAGUCUUGAGGCCUCACCACCUGAGACGGGCACUGUCAGUGCUCAGCCCAGAUCCUCUGGGAUCCCUGUGACCUGUGUGUCCCACCUCGGGCUUCUAUGUGUCACACCUGUGACUCCACUUCACAGGCUGCUUUCAGGCUAUGCGAGUGGCAUCACCUGAACUAGCAGAGAGUGCCUGAGAGUUUACCUUUUCUGCCUCCACCUGCUACCAUAGUCCCUUACCCUGUGUGACCCAGCAGUGCAAGAGUGUGAAAGCCCACCUCCCUGGCUUUAGAUGGGGUUAAGUCUAAGGCAUAAAGUAUGCUUCAGAGCGCCCCUGUGGAAUCCAGUUCGAGCCACCUGCAGUGGGAUAUUGCUUGAAAUCACAUCCUUACCUGGCUUCUUACCAAUUAUUUUUAAUGCACUUCCAUAAUAAUGUCACUAUGUACAUACCUGUGACCCUACCCAUUCCAACUCUGUAACCUCCAGUCCUAGACCUUAGCUGCCUAGGUAGUAUUCAUUCAUUCAUUCAUUAUCGAAUACUAGCUCAAAAUCUACUCUAGGUAAAGCACUAUUUCUCAUUUAUGGAGUAUAGCAAAUAUUCUGCCCUUUCUCCACCUCCUGUACCCUAAUUUUCUCUUCUUAAAAGCAUGCCAGUCACAUUGGAUUAGAACUUACCCUAAUGACAAUUACCUCUUUAAAGACCUGUCUCCAGGAGUUCCCAUCGUGGAUCAGUGGUUAACAAACCCAAUUAGUAUCCAUGAGGAUGCGAGUUCGAUCCCUGGCAUCACUCAGGGGGCUAAGGAUCUGGCCUUGCUGUGGCUUUGGGGCAGUGGCAACAGCUCCCUAUCUUUGGAACCUCCAUAUGCCAGGUGGGGGCGGGGCGGGCCCUAAAAAGACAAAAGACGAAAAGAAAAAAAAAACCUCUCUCCAAAUACAGUCACAUUUGAAGUAAUGGGGCUUAGGAGAGGACUUUAGUAAAUAAACUUCUGAGGGGUACACAAUUCAGCUGAAAACAUCCAUUAUCUGUAAUUCCAGUAGUGCCAAUUCCACUCUUUAUUUUACCACUUGUUCUAAAAAACAUCUACUUUGCAUCUGUUGGUUAUACCCAUUUACUUCCUUUCUGGGAAAGUUGAUAGACCCACAGGUCUUAGAGUGAACCCAUGAUGAGUUUAAAGCUGGUGGUGAAUGAAAAACACUAUCAAACAUCUCAACAAGCCCUUGAAUGCUAACUCAGUGGCAUGAGGUACCAAUGAAAGAUGUGGCAGAGUUGGGACUGUAGGAGAGCUGAUCAGUUCAUUGUACCAAGUAAUUCCCAAUUUACUCAAUCUUUGAUUUGCUUCAGUAUGUCUGUUGGCAACAUACAUCAUUUGUAUCAUCGAUUUGUUUUGUUUUUGUACACCUAGUUUCUGGAAACUGAAGAACAAAAGUACGACACUAUUUUACAGAAAACCAGAACACCCUCAAGACUUCAGUUAGGAUGAUUGAGGACUAGAGCAAAGAGCUUCGCUUUUUCAGUGGUUUCUGCCUCAGUGGGAAGCACAAGAAGCCACUAGGCUAACUGCUUGCCUGCGGGACGGCUGGAAGGAGAUGAAUAUUGAAACUUUUUUUUUGAGUAAUCCCACAUACAACGCAAUUUAUUUUCUCUUACAAGGAGUUUGUUGUGAUACUUUGAUUCUUUGAACAGAAAAGCUAUUUAAACUAAGCAAUUUCUCUCCAUGGUGAUGUAACAGUCCAGCUAUGGGGAGAAAAACAUCUUUCACAAAAACGAGGCAACCUAAGCUCAAAAUCCUUUCAACACUCCAGGCAAUUCCCCAUUCCCUUCGCUUACAAUUAAAUUAUUUUUGUCACUAUCAACAGGAGCAAGACUUUCUUUGAUUCCGAGUUAAUAAAAUCGUUAACUCGUUUCCUUUGGCUUGACUCUACAAACCAGCAAAUACUUUAGGAAUGCUUUUACUCUGCCAAACUAAGUUUUGGUUUUCCAUCUCUCAGUUCUCAAUGAUUUAUAUGUAUAAUCAUUUAGUAGGUAUAAAUAUCUUAUUUACGUAAAUCACAGUGGUGUUUCUAAAAUAACUAUAUUUAUAUUUGAAUAUAAAAAAUAAAAGUAAAUAAGGCCAAAUCUUAGCAAUCUGUUUAUACCUCCCUCCCCCAACUCCCACUUCCCCUCACCCUCAAAUUCCAGGUCCUCUAGGUCUCUGAUUGGCUUGCUGCCUCUCCAGGUUAUCGGAUUUCCUUAAAGUGAAGAUUAGAGUAAAGCAUAUCUGAGGUUGGGUUUUUUGGUUGUUGUUGGUAAAGUGUGGUAAUCCUUUCAUAAUUCAGAUUUGGAGCAAUAGAACAACCCUAUGAAAGUAGAUUAGGCCUGUCGCCAACAUUCCAGGGGCUUCUUUCAUAUUUUCACACUAUUAACAGGCUACAUGUCUCCUCUGACCUUAAUUCCACACAAUCUCAGGACAAAGUUUUCUUCUCUUUCCUUUUUUUAGUUCCGAAAUUAAAAUCACUCUCCUUUGACACCAACGAAGGUGCUUCGAUGGCUGAGUCUGCCUCCAUCGUCAUUAAAAGGUUACUGCUGGAAAAACCUUAGACAUCUAGUUUGGACCAGCAAUGUUUUAGUUAGCGUUCUAAAGGAUUUUUUCCUUAGAUUGCAGAUCAUUACCGAGGUAAAAGAGUACGUGUCUCUUAGUCUCUGGGAGCGUUUUGUUUUAUUUUGUUUCAGGGUCAAAUGUGGUGGGGCACAGUGAGUUAUAAUAGAAGACUAUGAUGAAAGAAAACUACCCCCUGCUGUGAACAACUAAGCGAGAAGUUAACCAUUACAGAGUAACAAUUUUGCAGGAAAUCAUGUCACUAAUACAGUAGUUAUUGGUUAACUGCGGUCCAGUUUCUAUAUUAGUGGAAAGAGCUACUUUAGGGAACUAUGAUGUUCUGAUAUUAUUUGAAGUUUGGGAGUUCUAAUUUAAAAAAAAAUUUAAGACCACGACUAGCAUAGGAGACAGUAUUAUUAAGGCUAGAUACCCUAAUGUUUUCUACUCACAUGCAUCAAUUUCUGAUUUAAUUGUAAACUAACCACAGAAGUUUCAGUGAUUGCGCAAUAUAACAUUUUUCAACCCCUUGAUUUUAUGACCUAUUUGGUCAUUUCCCAGUGACAUUUUCGGAUAGUGCAGUAAAACCGUACUGAGUGCAGAUUUGAAAAACACUUCUUAAAACAUUUAUGUGAACAAAUGAAAAGGCUCAAAUACCAUUUAAAUUAAAACGCAGUCAAACUUUACCUAAUAAGAACCCAGCACAUGCUGAACCCUGGCUAACUGACAUUGCCCACAAUUAACUCAAUUUUAAUCUGAAAGAGAAAAGAUGACAAGUUAACAUCAGGGAUUUACUCAAGCCGGAAGGAAGAAGAGAGGAAAAAAGAAACAAAUCACAACAUUACAUUUAUUUUAAGAUGCACGUUUUUUUCCCAUCUUUAAACCUCUGAAAUCAGGAUUCCCUUACUUGUCCUUGACCAGGUGGUAUACUGUAUGAGCAGAGCAGAUAAGAACUUGGCCAUACCGUUCACAGUGUUACAGCUUGAGGUAAGAUACGCUCAUGGUUAGUACCGCAUAAAAUAAGUGUAAAUAACUUUUUUUUCUUUUCUUGGCUUUUUAGGGCUACACCCUCGGCAUAUGGAGGUUCCCCAGCUAGGGGUCCAGUUGGAGCUGUAGCCACUGGCCACAGCCACAGCCACAGCCACAGCCACAGUGAUGCCAGAUCAGAGCCGCGUCUGCAACCUACACCACAGCUCAUGGCAAUGCCAGAUCCUUAACCCACUGAGCAAGGCCGGGGAUCGAACUUGCAUCCUCACGGAUACUAGUCAGAUGCACCAUGAUUUUACAGAUCCCUAACAAAGGGAGGUAAUUGUAAAUGUAAUUUACAAUAGUAGAGCCUACUUCUCUUAUGAUCUACUGUCUUCACAAGCCAAACUCAAAACAUUUUUAGAAAAGCUAAAUCUCUAUAAAAAGAAAAAAAAAAGCUGCCUUAUAUUUUAUACCUUCUCAGUAUACCUGUAAUUAGUGCAUAAAUAUGGGGACUGUGCCAAUUAUCAGAUGUCACCAUAUACUCUGGGUUUUCUCCAAAGUAGAAGAUGUUCAUUCUAACACUUUAAUCCUGAGAGUCUUUUAAAAAAAAUCCAUGUGGUGCAGCAGUUUUUCAUUCACAGAUGUGAUCUUACACUGAUUUCAAAAAUUAUGACCGCAAAAAUAAAUGCAGUGGCAAGUGGGUAUGAGCUUAGAUUAUAAAGAGCGGAGGUGUGGCUGGGUUCUCGAUGUGUACACUAGUUGUGAUGGUUAAAUUUAUGUGUCAUCUUGACUGGGCCCCGGAGUACUCAGAUUAAACAUUAUUUCUGUCAACUGUAUUCCAAUAAAAUUUAAAAAA
rnacentral:lncRNA from 1 species